UAGGGAAUCUUCCGCAAUGGGCGAAAGCCUGACGGAGCAACGCCGCGUGAGUGAUGAAGGUCUUCGGAUCGUAAAACUCUGUUAUUAGGGAAGAACAAAUGUGUAAGUAACUAUGCACGUCUUGACGGUACCUAAUCAGAAAGCCACGGCUAACUACGUGCCAGCAGCCGCGGUAAUACGUAGGUGGCAAUCGUUAUCCGGAAUUAUUGGGCGUAAAGCGCGCGUAGGCGGUUUUUUAAGUCUGAUGUGAAAGCCAACGGCUCAACCGUGGAGGGUCAUUGGAAACUGGAAUACUUGAGUGCAGAAGAGGAAAGUGGAAUUUCAUUUGUAGCGGUGAAAUGCGCAGAGAUAUGGAGGAACACCAGUGGCGAAGGCGACUUUCUGGUCUGUAACUGACGCUGAUGUGCGAAAGCGGGGGGAUCAAACCGG
rnacentral:rRNA from 1 species